GAUACUUGUUUAUAAUGCGAUGGAGGGACGGAGAAGGUUAUGUCAGCCUGGCGUUGGUUGUCCAGGUGAAAGGAUGUAGGCUUACAACUUAGGUAAAUCCGGGUUGUUACAUGGCUGAGAUCUGAUAGCAAGCUGUACUUGUACAGUGAAGUGGCAAAUACCAUGCUUCCAGGAAAAGCUUCUAAGCAAUAGUUAUAAACGAAUCG
rnacentral:rRNA from 1 species